ACUCCACCGGCAUUGCUAACUUACAUCCUACCAACCAUCAAACUCAUUUCGCAGUUCGAAUUAAUUUUAGAAAAAACUUCAAAUACCAUUCCUGUAGUUUCACACUUUCUCACUUUAGUACCAUGUGGUUUAAAGUGUAUCAAUUUAGUGCUAUGUGGUUUUAUUUUUAUCUUUUUGUCAGCUUUUUCAUUAGUAUUUCGUUAAAUUAUAUACAAAACACUUCAGAUACUCUAUCUAGAUUCAUUGAGUAUUCACUUUAGUACCCCCUAGUUUUAACUUUGUUACUAAUUUAACGAAAAAAUUUAGUAGAAUCGAUAAUAAAAAGAUAAAAAUGAAAUCAUAUGGCACUAAAUUAAUACAUUUUAAACCACAAGGUACCAAAAUAAAAAAGUGUGAAAUCCCAGGAACGAAGUUUGAAGUUUUUUCUAAAAUUAAUUCGAACUGCG
rnacentral:lncRNA from 1 species